ACGGAGGAUCCGAGCGUUAUCCGGAUUUAUUGGGUUUAAAGGGAGCGUAGGUGGAUUGUUAAGUCAGUUGUGAAAGUUUGCGGCUCAACCGUAAAAUUGCAGUUGAAACUGGCAGUCUUGAGUACAGUAGAGGUGGGCGGAAUUCGUGGUGUAGCGGUGAAAUGCUUAGAUAUCACGAAGAACUCCGAUUGCGAAGGCAGCUCACUAGACUGCAACUGACACUGAUGCUCGAAAGUGUGGGUAUCAAACAG
rnacentral:rRNA from 1 species